rnacentral:rRNA from 1 species
AGCAUAUCAAUAAGCGGAGGAAAAGAAACCAACAGGGAUUGCCUCAGUAACGGCGAGUGAAGCGGCAACAGCUCAAAUUUGAAAUCUGGCCCCCCGGGCCCGAGUUGUAAUUUGUAGAGGAUGCUUCGGGCGUGGUCCGGCCUAAGUCCCUUGGCACAGGGCGUCAUAGAGGGUGAGAACCCCGUAUGUGGCCGGGUGCCUAGGCCCGUGUGAAGCUCCCUCGACGAGUCGAGUUGUUUGGGAUUGCAGCUCAAAAUGGGUGGUAAAUUUCAUCUAAAGCUAAAUACCGGCCAGAGACCGAUAGCGCACAAGUAGAGUGAUCGAAAGAUGAAAAGCACUUUGGAAAGAGAGUUAAACAGUACGUGAAAUUGUUGAAAGGGAAGCGCUUGCGACCAGACUUGGGCGCGGCCGAUCAUCCGGCGUUCUCGCCGGUGCACUCGGCCGCGUGCCAGGCUAGCAUCGGUUCCGGCGGCCAGACAAAGGCCGGGCGAACGUGGCUCCCCCCGGGGAGUGUUAUAGCGCCCGGCGCCAUGUGGCCUGCUGGGACCGAGGACCGCGCCUCUGGCUAGGAUGCUGGCGUAAUGGUCGCAAGCGACCCGUCUUGAAACACGGACCAAGGAGUGGAAUAAUCAUGCGAGUGUUUGGGUGCAAAACCCAUGCGCGAAAUGAAAGUGAACGGAGGUGAGAGCCCGCCAGGGCGCAUCAUCGACCGAUCCUGAUGUCUUCGGAUGGAUUUGAGUAAGAGCAUGGCUGUUCCGACCCGAAAGAUGGUGAACUAUGCGUGGAUAGGGUGAAGCCAGAGGAAACUCUGGUGGAGGCUCGCAGCGGUUCUGACGUGCAAAUCGAUCGUCAAAUCUGUGCAUAGGGGCGAAAGACUAAUCGAACCAUCUAGUAGCUGGUUCCUGCCGAAGUU